CAGUUCAGACUGCAGGCUGCAACUCGCCUGCACGAAGUCGGAAUUGCUAGUAAUCGUAGGUCAGCAUACUACGGUGAAUACGUUCCCGGGCCUUGUACACACCGCCCGUCACACCAUGGGAGCCGGUAAUACCCGAAGUCAGUAGUCCAACCUCGUGAGGACGCUGCCGAAGGUAGGAUUGGCGACUGGGGUGAAGUCGUAACAAGGUAGC
rnacentral:rRNA from 1 species